rnacentral:lncRNA from 1 species
UGAACCCUAGGAAUGUUAGGAUAUUAGGGUUGACAGGACAGAAUAGAAAUGAGCCAUGUAAGUCCAUAUUAGAAAUAUGGCUUUGGAGACAGGAUUGAGCCAUGUAAGUCCAUAUUAUAUAUGGCAUUGGAGACAAGAAUAAUUCAUGUAAGUCCAUGUCAAAGACAUGGCAUUGGCAGGAUAUUGAUAGACAGGAACGACCCUAGUAUCCUUAGUAUUCCGAGUGGUUCAACGGGUCAGGAUACGAGUUAAA